CCGAGUUGUAAUUUGAAGAAGGUAACUUUGGAGUUGGCUCUUGUCUAUGUUCCUUGGAACAGGACGUCACAGAGGGUGAGAAUCCCGUGCGAUGAGAUGCCCAAUUCUAUGUAAAGUGCUUUCGAAGAGUCGAGUUGUUUGGGAAUGCAGCUCUAAGUGGGUGGUAAAUUCCAUCUAAAGCUAAAUAUUGGCGAGAGACCGAUAGCGAACAAGUACAGUGAUGGAAAGAUGAAAAGAACUUUGAAAAGAGAGUGAAAAAGUACGUGAAAUUGUUGAAAGGGAAGGGCUUGAGAUCAGACUUGGUAUUUUGCGAUCCUUUCCUUCUUGGUUGGGUUCCUCGCAGCUUACUGGGCCAGCAUCGGUUUGGAUGGUAGGAUAAUGACUAAGGAAUGUGGCUCUACUUCGGUGGAGUGUUAUAGCCUUGGUUGAUACUGCCUGUCUAGACCGAGGACUGUGUCUUA
rnacentral:rRNA from 1 species